rnacentral:tRNA from 1 species
GCGGACGUGGCGGAAUCGGUAUACGCGCCAGGCUUAGGCCCUGGUGGGCUUUAUGCCCGUGGAGGUUCGAGUCCUCUCGUCCGCA